rnacentral:rRNA from 1 species
UACAGAGGUCUCAAGCGUUGUUCGGAUUGACUGGGCGUAAAGGGCGCGUAGGCGGUUCGUACAGUCAGACGUGAAAUUCCUGGGCUCAACCUGGGGGCUGCGUUUGAUACGUGCGGACUUGAGUGCGGAAGAGGGUCGUGGAAUUCCCAGUGUAGAGGUGAAAUUCGUAGAUAUUGGGAAGAACACCGGUGGCGAAGGCGGCGACCUGGUCCGAUACUGACGCUGAGGCGCGAAAGCGUGGGGAGCAAACAGG